UACCAGCUCUUCGAGUGGUGUGGAUGUUUAUUGGGCCUAAAGCAUCCGUAGCUGGCUGGGCUAAGUCCCCUGUUAAAUCCACCGAUUUAAUCGUUGGAGUGCGGGGAUACUGCUCGGCUAGGGGACGGGAGAGGCAGACGGUAUUUUCGGGGUAGGGUGAAAUCCUAUAAUCCCGGGAAGACCACCAGUGGCGAAGGCUGUCUGCUAGAACGCGCCCGACGGUGAGGGAUGAAAGCUGGGGGAGCGAACCGGAUUAGAUACCCGGGUAGUCCCAGCUGUAAACGAUGCAGGCUAGGUGUUUGGGCGGCCACGUGCCGCUCUAGUGCCGCAGGGAAGCCGUUAAGCCUGCCGCCUGGGGAGUACGGCCGCAAGGCUGAAACUUAAAGGAAUUGGCGGGGAGCACAGCAACGGGUGGAGCGUGCGGUUU
rnacentral:rRNA from 1 species